UACGAAGGGGGCUAGCGUUGUUCGGAAUUACUGGGCGUAAAGCGCACGUAGGCGGAUCGGUCAGUUAGGGGUGAAAUCCCAGAGCUCAACUCUGGAACUGCCUUUAAUACUGCCGAUCUGGAGUCCGGAAGAGGUGAGUGGAAUUCCGAGUGUAGAGGUGAAAUUCGUAGAUAUUCGGAGGAACACCAGUGGCGAAGGCGGCUCACUGGCCCGGUACUGACGCUGAUGUGCGAAAGCGUGGGGAGCAAACAGG
rnacentral:rRNA from 1 species